rnacentral:rRNA from 1 species
GAUGAACGCUGGCGGCGUGCCUAAUACAUGCAAGUCGAGCGAACAGACGAGGAGCUUGCUCCUCUGACGUUAGCGGCGGACGGGUGAGUAACACGUGGAUAACCUACCUAUAAGACUGGGAUAACUUCGGGAAACCGGAGCUAAUACCGGAUAAUAUAUUGAACCGCAUGGUUCAAUAGUGAAAGACGGUUUUGCUGUCACUUAUAGAUGGAUCCGCGCCGCAUUAGCUAGUUGGUAAGGUAACGGCUUACCAAGGCAACGAUGCGUAGCCGACCUGAGAGGGUGAUCGGCCACACUAGAACGUAGACACGGUCCAGACUCCUACGGGAGGCAGCAGUAGGGAAUCUUACGCAAUGGGCGAAAGCCUGACGGAGCAACGCCGCGUGAGUGAUGAAGGUCUUCGGAUCGUAAAACUCUGUUAUUAGGGAAGAACAAAUGUGUAAGUAACUAUGCACGUCUUGACGGUACCUAAUCAGAAAGCCACGGCUAACUACGUG